AUUCAGUUGAUGCGUCCCAAAUAGGACGAAAUGAGCAUCAUGGAU
rnacentral:hammerhead_ribozyme from 1 species